rnacentral:lncRNA from 1 species
CAAACACGCAGAGGAUCCCAGACAGGAGUGGGUCUUCACGCUGUACAACUUUGAUCACAGCAGCAAGGCCACCAAAGAGGACAUGUCCAGCCUAAUUCAUUCCAUGUAUGAGGCCUUAGAGGCUUCAGUCAAGCAGCCUUCUGGUGGCACCACAGUCCUGAAGUUCAACCUUGUCAUGUCACCCUCUCUCCAAGACAAGGUCUCACAACCAGAGAAAGAGCAGAGUGCAUUUCGCGAGGCAGGAAGUCCUAAAAGAAGACUCUACUGUGCAGAUGAAAACAUCGAGCGCAGAAACCAUUAUUUGGAUCUGGCUGGUGUUGAAAACUACACUUCCAAGUUUGACACUAAAGAAUCCCCAUCUCAGGAGCCCAGACACAAUCCUCUUUCAGCUCCUCAGCACCACCUUGUGCUGGCAGGGGAGAACUACAGCUCCUCAGAGCAUCCCGGAGGUUCCUCUCUGUUUCAUUCCCCAAAGGGCAAGUCAUCUGACAAAGAAGGAAGGUCCACCAGAGUCCACAGCCAGCACCCUGCUUCCUGGUGCCAGCCUAGCCACCCUAAACACCCAGUCUACAGCACUCCACAACGUACACACAGCAAAAGGCUACGAUCCAGAGAACAAGAAACUAUCUCACCUGGCUCCCAGACCCAGCCAAGAGGAGACAGGGAGAUAUCAGCCAAACGUAAUCCCACCUGUGGUUCCCCUGCUCUUCUGGCCCUACGACAUGAUCACCAUCACUACCACGAGCAUCACCACCACCAUCAUCAUCACCACUACCACCCAGCAUGAAUGCAUUUCAGACACAUGACUGGACUGGACUCCAGCUCAGGCCUGCU